rnacentral:rRNA from 1 species
UACAGAGGUCUCAAGCGUUGUUCGGAUUCAUUGGGCGUAAAGGGUGCGUAGGCGGCGCGGUAAGUCGGGUGUGAAAUCUCGGGGCUUAACUCCGAAACUGCAUUCGAUACUGCCGUGCUUGAGGACUGGAGAGGAGACUGGAAUUUACGGUGUAGCGGUGAAAUGCGUAGAUAUCGUAAGGAAGACCAGUGGCGAAGGCGGGUCUCUGGACAGUUCCUGACGCUGAGGCGCGAAGGCUAGGGGAGCAAACGGG